GGAUGCCUCAAUAUAAAUUCAAUGCUCUCUGUAAUAACUUCCACGACUUCAAUCAACUACAACCACUCUAAUAAUCUCCUCUUAUUCUUUAUUCCCGCACAAAUCUCAAACGGGAAGCUUCUCUUCUUUUUCUGUCCCAGAUGGCGAUUACUUCAUGGUGUUAUCUUCUCCUGCUUGUCUUCUCUUUAGGCAACCUAGCCAAUGCUACUGUUUUCACUCUCCAAAAUCUUUGCAGCUACACGAUAUGGCCUGGAACUCUCUCUGGAAACGGUGCUGCGACUCUCGGCGGCGGUGGUUUUGUAUUGUCACCUGGUUCAUCAAUCCAGCUCCAGGCUCCACCCAGUUGGUCCGGCAGGUUCUGGGCUCGGACUGGUUGCAAAUUUGAUGAUUCAGGGGCUGGUAAGUGCGUCACCGGUGACUGUGGCGGCAUAUUAAAGUGCACAGGAGGUGGAGCUCCGCCAGUGACCCUCGCGGAGUUCACUAUUGCCGCGAAUCAUAAUGACAAGGAUUUCUACGACGUUAGCCUGGUAGACGGAUACAACAUUGGCUUAGGUGUGAAGGCACUGGGUGGCUCCGGUGAUUGCCAAUACGCAGGUUGUCAGGAGGAUCUUAAUGGGAACUGCCCAGCAGAAUUACAGGUGGUUGAUUCGGGUUCGGUUGUUGCCUGCAAGAGUGCUUGUGAAGCGUUUAAUGCACCGCAGUUUUGUUGCACCGGCGACCAUUCGACACCGCAGUCUUGCUCACCGACCCAGUACUCGGCGUUGUUCAAGAAUGCAUGCCCGACGGCCUACAGUUAUGCUUAUGAUGAUGCAUCAAGUACUUGCACUUGCUCCGGGUCGGAUUACUUGAUCACAUUUUGUUCCAAGGGGUCUGGAUAGUCUCAUCUGACGCUCCAUGGUUUGGUUUGUUGUGGCCUUGUUGGGUAAUUGUGAAUGAUAGUUUCAUUUGAUUUACAGAGUAGUUAAACCAUACAUGGAAUUAUUAAGGGUGUAUGUUAUUAAUGACAAGUUAAUUAAUGGAUUAUGCUUUAUUAAACUUGAAAAUUCCUGCCUAAUCCAUUGUGAACUCAGUGUACAGACAUGUCUUGGUGGACGAGUAUAGGCAAGAAAAUCCGUUUGGGAGAUUAAUUUAUGUGGU
rnacentral:misc_RNA from 1 species